rnacentral:rRNA from 1 species
UACGUAGGGCGCAAGCGUUAUCCGGAAUUAUUGGGCGUAAAGCGCGCGCAGGCGGUUCGGUAAGUCUGGUGUAUAAGCUCAGGGCUCAACUCUGGGAGGCACUGGAAACUGUCGGACUGGAGUGCAGGAGAGGAAAGUGGAAUUCCACGUGUAGCGGUGAAAUGCGUAGAGAUGUGGAGGAACACCAGUGGCGAAGGCGACUUUCUGGCCUGUAACUGACGCUGAGGCGCGAAAGCGUGGGGAGCAAACAGG